rnacentral:tRNA from 1 species
GUUUUAAUAGUUUAAUCAAAACAAUGAUUUUGUAAUUCAUAGAUAGCUAAAGCUUUAAAACU